rnacentral:rRNA from 1 species
CCUACGGGUGGCAGCAGUGGGGAAUCUUGGACAAUGGGCGAAAGCCUGAUCCAGCCAUGCCGCGUGUGUGAAGAAGGCCUUCGGGUUGUAAAGCACUUUCAGUGGGGAAGAAAGCCUUGGGGCUAAUACCCUCGAGGAAGGACAUCACCCACAGAAGAAGCACCGGCUAACUCCGUGCCAGCAGCCGCGGUAAUACGGAGGGUGCGAGCGUUAAUCGGAAUUACUGGGCGUAAAGCGCGCGUAGGCGGUCUGAUAAGCCGGUUGUGAAAGCCCCGGGCUCAACCUGGGAACGGCAUCCGGAACUGUCAGGCUAGAGUGCAGGAGAGGAAGGUAGAAUUCCCGGUGUAGCGGUGAAAGGCGUAGAGAUCGGGAGGAAUACCAGUGGCGAAGGCGGCCUUCUGGACUGACACUGACGCUGAGGUGCGAAAGCGUGGGUAGCAAACAGGAUUAGAUACCCUUGAGUC